UGGGGAAUUUUGGACAAUGGGCGAAAGCCUGAUCCAGCAAUGCCGCGUGUGUGAAGAAGGCCUUCGGGUUGUAAAGCACUUUUGUCCGGAAAGAAAUCCUCUGGGUUAAUACCUCGGGGGGAUGACGGUACCGGAAGAAUAAGCACCGGCUAACUACGUGCCAGCAGCCGCGGUAAUACGUAGGGUGCAAGCGUUAAUCGGAAUUACUGGGCGUAAAGCGUGCGCAGGCGGUUUUGUAAGACGGAUGUGAAAUCCCCGGGCUUAACCUGGGAACUGCAUUCGUGACUGCAAGGCUAGAGUAUGGCAGAGGGGGGUAGAAUUCCACGUGUAGCAGUGAAAUGCGUAGAGAUGUGGAGGAAUACCGAUGGCGAAGGCAGCCCCCUGGGCCAAUACUGACGCUCAUGCACGAAAGCGUGGGGAGCAAACAGGAUUAGGAUACCCUGGUAGUCCACGCCCUAAACGAUGUCAACUAGUUGUUGGGGAUUCAUUUCCUUAGUAACGUAGCUAACGCGUGAAGUUGACCGCCUGGGGAGUACGGUCGCAAGAUUAAAACUUAAAGGAAUUGACGGGGUCAUAGCU
rnacentral:rRNA from 1 species